rnacentral:rRNA from 1 species
AUGUACAUUGAUGAAGAGAAAGAAGUGCAGAAUUUACGAAACAUAGGAAUUGAAAUUGUUAGUAAAUGUGGUUGCCUCCCUCUUGCCAUCAAGGUUACUGGUAGUGCUUUGGCAAGCAGAGAUCUAACAGAGAAUGCGUGGAAAAAGUUUUUGGCCAAAUAUAAUGGCUCCCAGAGCAUGCUGUUGGAUGAAAUACAAGGAGCUCUGUACCUAAGCUAUGAUGAGUUACCUCAUCGUCUGAAGCAGUGUUUCCUAUAUUGUGCUCUGUAUGCUGAAGAUUCUAUCAUUGCACUUGAUGAAGUUACCUGGUUAUGGAUUGCUGAAGGCUUCAUCGUGGAGCAGCAAGGCCAACUACUAGAAGACAUAGCAGAAGAGUACUAUUAUGAGCUAAUCCAUCGGAAUCUCCUCCAACCAGUUAAAAAUAUUUUUGACAAGUCUUCAUGUCGAAUGCAUGACCUCUUGAGACAGCUUGCUGUAAAUAUAUCAAAAGAGGAAUGCUUUGUUGGCGAUGUUGAAACAUUAAGGAGUGAAAGUAUGUCAAAACUGAGACGUGUUACUGCUGUCGCUAAGAAGGAUAAAUUAGUGUUACCUAGCAUGGAUAAGGUGGAAGUUAAGUUGAGGACAUUCCUUGCUUUUUCUGGUCCACAGAUAAUUGAGGAUGCAUUGUUCAAGAGAUUUCCGCUUCUCCGUGUUUUGGUAAUUAAUUACUCACUUGUACAAAGCAUUCCGAAUUCCAUUGGAAAAUUGAUACAUCUAUGCCUACUUAAUUUAGAUAAUACUGGCAUAUCUUGGCUUCCGAAAUCCAUUGGCUCCCUAAAGAACCUUCAGGUGCUGAGCUUGACAAGGUGUGUUGCUCUGCGCAGUCUACCUCCGGCAAUAACCCAAUUGUGCAGUUUAAGAUGUCUAAAUCUUCUUGGUACAAAAAUAUAUCAGCUUCCAAAAGGUAUUGGAAAAUUUAAGUUACUCACUGACUUAAAAGGAUUUCCUGGUGGUGAUGGAAGUGAUAAUGCUAGUGUACAAGAUGGAUGCAAGUUGGAAGAGUUGUCUUCUAUGUCGCAGAUGAGGCAUCUUAUUCUUGUUAAAUUGGAAAGAGCGGCUCAUUCUAGUAUAAAUGCAGGGCUGACAGACAAAAAACAUCUAAAAGAACUAGUACUAGCGUGGACUGGGCGUGAAGAUGGAUUAUAUUCAGAAGAACACGUUCGCAAUACUGAGAAGGUCCUUGAGCAGCUAAUACCUCCAAGCAAUCUGGAAGACCUUUUUAUUAUGGGAUUCUAUGGUCGGUGGUACCCCACCUGGUUUGGUACCACCUGUAUGUCUUCAUUAUUACUCCCUCCGUUCCAAAAUAGAUGA